rnacentral:rRNA from 1 species
UCUGGGUCUUUUAGGCUCCGAGUUGUAAUUUGUAGAAGAUGCUUUGGGUGCGGCCCCGGUCUAAGUUCCUUGGAACAGGACGUCAUAGAGGGUGAGAAUCCCGUAUGUGAUCGGUGGCUUGCGCCCGUGUAAAGCUCUUUCGACGAGUCGGGUUGUUUGGGAAUGCAGCUCUAAAUGGGUGGUAAAUUUCAUCUAAAGCUAAAUAUUGGCCAGAGACCGAUAGCGCACAAGUAGAGUGAUCGAAAGAUGAAAAGCACUUUGGAAAGAGAGUUAAACAGUACGUGAAAUUGUUGAAAGGGAAGCGCUUGCAACCAGACUUGCGCGGGGUUGAUCAUCCGGGGUUCUCCCCGGUGCACUCGGCCUCGCUCAGGCCAGCAUCGGUUUUGGUGGUUGGAUAAAGGCCUUGGGAAUGUGACUUCUUUCGGGGAGUGUUAUAGCCCUCGGUGCAAUGCAGCCUACCGGGACCGAGGACCGCGCUUCGGCUAGGAUGCUGGCGUAAUGGUUGUAAGCGACCCGUCUUGAAACACGGACCAAGGAGUCUAACAUCUAUGCGAGUGUUUGGGUGUCAAACCCAUACGCGUAAUGAAAGUGAACGGAGGUGAGAACCCUUAAGGGUGCAUCAUCGACCGAUCCUGAUGUCUUCGGAUGGAUUUGAGUAAGAGCAUAGCUGUUGGGACCCGAAAGAUGGUGAACUAUGCCUGAAUAGGGUGAAGCCAGAGGAAACUCUGGUGGAGGCUCGCAGC